UUUUUCCGAAGUUGGUCAAGUCCUUGUGGUUGAGCUGUCUCCUUUCUUUCUCUCUGACUGUGACACUUCUCCUACGUCCAGGCUGUGGAAAAUGAAGGAGGGAUAAAGGGAAAGAGUAAAAUCAAGGCGCGUGAGCUGCUGCUUAAAGUUCACGACCAACAUUCCAAUAAGCAAGAAGAGAUUGCGCCGGCGCACCAGAGAUGAUGAAGGGAAAGUGCAUUUCUGCAGAGGACGUCGGGAGUGAUCUUGCCGCUUGCUCCCAACCGCUGUGCCCAGCUCCAAACCGGAGCCCGCACCACCGCUCCCCUCCGAAAGGGCUUGCUGCAAGUUCUGUGCAUAAGCCGCUCUGUGGUUAGCCUGUUGUACACUAGUUUAUUCCCAAGGCCUCAGCGCCUCGUCAGAAGGUUUUUGUUUUUGCCCCUUACGGUCUUGGCUGGAGAACGCGUCAAGGAAUCCAGGGAGGAGACCACCAGUAACAAACUGACACAAAGUACUUUUAGAUAAUUUUGCUGAGUUAGAGCGGUGCUAAGAAUUAGGCUUAUGAAAUGCAGUUACGUGGCGGUACACAUUCACUGAGAGAGAAACUGCAGUAUGAUCUGGAACUGAGGUUUAGAUUGAGCCCAAGUUGAUUGGCUUCAGCUUCCUGUUUCCUGCUUCCCUCGCACUGUAUCUCCGGGUUUUUCCUUCUUGCUCACUUAGUCAUCUAUUAUGUUGCUAUGUACGAGGCUUCCUGCUAGGACCCCGGAAGAGGAAAGUGAAUAAAACGUGGUUCCCUGAACUUCAGCGCACAGUGAGCUGGGGGAGACAGAAAUGUAACUCAUGGGAGCGAAGACUGCUGCUGUCCUGCCUGCCUUCUACCGCCCAUGGUAGGGAGUCUCCCCAGGACCUUACUUCAGACAUGGAAGCCCCUCCAUCUGUUAAACCUCUGAGGUCUCUGUCACUGACUCUGGGGCUCUUUCUUCGGUCCUGAAGUGUUCCUGAAAUUCACCAGGCACAGGCCUUGGGGUUAAACCCAAGCGGAAACCGGAGGCAACGCUCCCACCUCCCCCAUCACAGGACCACGGUCCUACCUGGCUGGUAGAAGUCAGGC